UACGAAGGGGGCUAGCGUUGUCCGGAGUUACUGGGCGUAAAGCGCGCGCAGGCGGCGCACCGCGCCCGGCGUGAAAGCCCCCGGCUCAACUGGGGAGGGUCACGCGAUACUGAUCGACUCGAAGGCAGGAGAGGGAAGUGGAAUUCCCGGUGUAGUGGUGAAAUGCGUAGAUAUCGGGAGGAACACCAGUGGCGAAGGCGACUUCCUGGCCUGUUCUUGACGCUGAGGCGCGAAAGCUAGGGGAGCAAACGGG
rnacentral:rRNA from 1 species